UGGGGAAUAUUGCACAAUGGGCGCAAGCCUGAUGCAGCCAUGCCGCGUGUGUGAAGAAGGCCUUCGGGUUGUAAAGCACUUUCAGCGAGGAGGAAGGGUAGUGUGUUAAUAGCACAUUGCAUUGACGUUACUCGCAGAAGAAGCACCGGCUAACUCCGUGCCAGCAGCCGCGGUAAUACGGAGGGUGCAAGCGUUAAUCGGAAUUACUGGGCGUAAAGCGCACGCAGGCGGUUUGUUAAGGCAGAUGUGAAAUCCCCGCGCUUAACGUGGGAACUGCAUUUGAAACUGGCAAGCUAGAGUCUUGUAGAGGGGGGUAGAAUUCCAGGUGUAGCGGUGAAAUGCGUAGAGAUCUGGAGGAAUAC
rnacentral:rRNA from 1 species